rnacentral:rRNA from 1 species
UGGUGGAGUGAUUUGUCUGCUUAAUUGCGAUAACGAACGAGACCUUAACCUGCUAAAUAGCCAGGCUUGCUCUUGCAGGUCGCCAGCUUCUUAGAGGGACUAUCGGCUCAAGCCGAUGGAAGUUUGAGGCAAUAACA